CAGGCCUAACACAUGCAAGUCGAACGCACCGCAAGGUGAGUGGCAGACGGGUGAGUAACGCGUGGGAAUCUACCCAGUCCUUCGGAAUAACACAGGGAAACUUGUGCUAAUACCGGAUACGCCCUACGGGGGAAAGAUUUAUCGGGAUUGGAUGAGCCCGCGUUGGAUUAGCUAGUUGGUGGGGUAAUGGCCUACCAAGGCGACGAUCCAUAGCUGGUCUGAGAGGAUGAUCAGCCACACUGGGACUGAGACACGGCCCAGACUCCUACGGGAGGCAGCAGUGGGGAAUAUUGGACAAUGGGCGAAAGCCUGAUCCAGCCAUGCCGCGUGAGUGAUGAAGGCCUUAGGGUUGUAAAGCUCUUUCAGUGGGGAAGAUAAUGACGGUACCCACAGAAGAAGCCCCGGCUAACUUCGUGCCAGCAGCCGCGGUAAU
rnacentral:rRNA from 1 species